GUCAACCACCCCACGGCUAAAGCCGGGGGCUUGCGAUGAGCAGGCCCGAGGUUGACCAGCCUCAGCCAGGGCCGUAGGGCCAUCGGGCUACGUUAUCCCGGUCAUGACACCCUGGAGUGCGCGAGCCAGCUCCAGGCCCUGUCGCGGGCGGUUAAACAGGCAUACGGGGGCGAAGCCAGUGCCGCUCGCAUGACAAGCCGGGAUAACAUUGGCGAGGCUCACGUGAC
rfam:Alicyclobacillus acidocaldarius subsp. acidocaldarius DSM 446, complete genome.